CAACCUUUACAGGUCCUUGUGGCUUUGUUAGGCUUGGAUAUUGGAGGGAUUCUAUUGCCGGCUUGAGUACAAGUUGGCUCCUCUUAAAUGCAUUAGCUUAGUCCCUAGUGGAUCAGCUCUCAGUGUGAUAAGUUCUUUACGCUGUGACCGUGAAGCAUCUUAUGGCAAGCUUCUAA
rnacentral:misc_RNA from 1 species